rnacentral:rRNA from 1 species
GAUGAACGCUGGCGGCGUGCCUAAUACAUGCAAGUCGAGCGAACGGACGAGAAGCUUGCUUCUCUGAUGUUAGCGGCGGACGGGUGAGUAACACGUGGAUAACCUACCUAUAAGACUGGGAUAACUUCGGGAAACCGGAGCUAAUACCGGAUAAUAUUUUGAACCGCAUGGUUCAAAAGUGAAAGACGGUCUUGCUGUCACUUAUAGAUGGAUCCGCGCUGCAUUAGCUAGUUGGUAAGGUAACAGCUUACCAAGGCAACGAUGCAUAGCCGACCUGAGAGGGUGAUCGGCCACACUGGAACUGAGACACGGUCCAGACUCCUACGGGAGGCAGCAGUAGGGAAUCUUCCGCAAUGGGCGAAAGCCUGACGGAGCAACGCCGCGUGAGUGAUGAAGGUCUUCGGAUCGUAAAACUCUGUUAUUAGGGAAGAACAUAUGUGUGAGUAACUGUGCACGUCUUGACGGUACCUAAUCAGAAAGCCACGGCUAACUACGUG